AACGCAUAUGGCACCUUUUGACACUUGUGAAAAGGUAUGCCUGUUUGAGAAUCAUAUUCCACCAUUUCUUUCUGUUCCAUCGAUCACGAUUGGAUAGAUUGACACAAUUGGACCUUUAUCAUUAAUCGUCUUGAAUUCUGCGAUGACUGACUUGUUGAUAAGAGAGGAUAGAGGAUGACUCGUUCAUUCGAUACACGCUUUGACAUGUCAAGUGCACCAACAACAAUGAUCUCAAAUCAGGCAAGGCUACCCGCUGAACUUAA
rnacentral:misc_RNA from 1 species